UACGGGGGGGAGCAAGCGUUGUUCGGAUUUACUGGGCGUAAAGGGCGCGUAGGCGGCCACCGCAAGUCGACUGUGAAAUCUCCGGGCUUAACCCGGAAAGGUCAGCCGAUACUGCGGGGCUAGAGUGCAGAAGGGGCAACUGGAAUUCUCGGUGUAGCGGUGAAAUGCGUAGAUAUCAGGAGGAACACCAAUAGCGAAGGCAGACUCGCUGGGACGGUAUUGACGCUGAGGAGCGAAAGCGUGGGGAGCGAACAGG
rnacentral:rRNA from 1 species